rnacentral:rRNA from 1 species
GAUGAACGCUGGCGGCGUGCCUAAUACAUGCAAGUCGAGCGAACGGACGAGAAGCUUGCUUCUCUGAUGUUAGCGGCGGACGGGUGAGUAACACGUGGAUAACCUACCUAUAAGACUGGGAUAACUUCGGGAAACCGUAGCUAAUACCGGAUAAUAUUUUGAACCGCAUGGUUCAAAAGUGAAAGACGGUCUUGCUGUCACUUAUAGAUGGAUCCGCGCUGCAUUAGCUAGUUGGUAAGGUAACGGCUUACCAAGGCAACGAUGCAUAGCCGACCUGAGAGGGUGAUCGGCCACACUGGAACUGAGACACGGUCCAGACUCCUACGGGAGGCAGCAGUAGGGAAUCUUCCGCAAUGGGCGAAAGCCUGACGGAGCAACGCCGCGUGAGUGAUGAAGGUCUUCGGAUCGUAAAACUCUGUUAUUAGGGAAGAACAUAUGUGUAAUUAAAUGUGCACAUCUUGACGGUACCUAAUCAGAAAGCCACGGCUAACUACGUG